rnacentral:rRNA from 1 species
GAUGAACGCUGGCGGCGUGCCUAAUACAUGCAAGUCGAGCGAACAGAUGAGGAGCUUGCUCCUCUGACGUUAGCGGCGGACGGGUGAGUAACACGUGGAUAACCUACCUAUAAGACUGGGAUAACUUCGGGAAACCGGAGCUAAUACCGGAUAAUAUAUUGAACCGCAUGGUUCAAUAGUGAAAGACGGUGUUGGUGUCACUUAUAGAUGGAUCCGCGCCGCAUUAGCUAGUUGGUAAGGUAACGGCUUACCAAGGCAACGAUGCGUAGCCGACCUGAGAGGGUGAUCGGCCACACUGGAACUGAGACACGGUCCAGACUCCUACGGGAGGCAGCAGUAGGGAAUCUUCCGCAAUGGGCGAAAGCCUGACGGAGCAACGCCGCGUGAGUGAUGAAGGUCUUCGGAUCGUAAAACUCUGUUAUUAGGGAAGAACAAAUGUGUAAGUAACUAUGCACGUCUUGACGGUACCUAAUCAGAAAGCCACGGCUAACUACGUG